ACUAAUAAUUAAUUCAGUGUCUUUGCAGUUUGCCUUAAUUUGAAAAUUGGUGAUUUUUCUUUUCCUUUUCUUCUUCUUCGAACAGCUCUUUAGCAGGUAUUAUGAAACAUUGCAUUUGCUUGUAGGGCUACUAAUAUGUUCUCAGAAGAAGACUGAACUCAGGGAAUUCCACUGAAUUUAAUUCAUUGCCAAUGAAAAUAAACUGAUUUGAAAAUUACUGAUUUGGAUAUUGAGAAAAAAAGAAGACAUUCAACUAAACAAAAACUUAGGGAAUCUUCUUUUCUCCUCUUGGGAAAGCCCAAGAGUCAAGUUGACUCCAGACACUUGCCCUCCAGCUUCAUAGUCUCCCCUCCCCUUGUCUGGCUGCAGGUUACACUCAGUCCCUUCAGUGAUGCAAAGGAGAUUGGGGUCUGCACGUUGCAGGGGGGUCUGUCACUCCUUUUUAUUGACUCUUUUCUUCCAUGGAUCCUUCCUUCUCACUCAUUUCCUCUGCUCGGGCAUUGACUCCUCCAUGUCACCAGCAUGGGGACACUCCCUGGUGUCCUCCCACCCUGCAGCUCUCUGCUCCCCAAAUCCUGCCAGAUACACCCAUAACACGUCAUAGAGAGUACAUAUAAAUCAUUCAGCUCUAUCUCUAAAUCUCUUGUUGAGCAGCUAAUCCUACUGACACCAACCAUAUCCAUCUUUUCAGUUGUCUCUCAUUUCCCUCCUUGUUCUCUGUCACUGCCAACAUUUCCAUCCUUACAGCUGCUCCAAGCCACACUUUGGAGUUUGCUCUUGACAACACCCUCUCUCUCAGCUCGUGUAUCCAGAACAUGCUGCCUUUUACUCAGCAUAAACAUUAUCUGCCCUUUCCCCCCCCACUAACCACAUCAUGUGUCCUGUUCUCCACUGCAGAUAUUCCAUCAUUGUAGGAGCUUACUCUCUGGCCAUCCAAGCAUGUAUGUACAGACCUGUCUCCUGCCAAAAUAUAUCCCAGAAGAUAAUUUUCCCUGCCAGUCCAAAACCAAUAAAUAAUUCGAUAUUUUAAAAGCUUUGGUAACUUUGCACCUGCUAUUUUGUCUUAUUAAUUGCUUCAACUACUACACUGUCCAUAUUUUUUUUUUCUUGUUGUUGCUGUUGCUUUGUUUGAGGAGUUUUAUGCCUUUAUCACUGUCUCUUGCUCAGCUCCCUAUAUAACCACAUCAGCUUUUCUUUCAUACAGCCUCUUUUGGGUGCUGCCGAGUUGGUGGGACUGGAUGAUCUCAAAGGUCUCUUCCAACCUUGAUGAUUCAGUGAUUCUGCAUAUCAUGAAGUUCCCAAGACCUAUUCCCUUUGUGACCUUUUGAAAGGCCAGUUUCUACCCUGUUGCCAUCUAGGGAAAAUAAUUUUUAGUGUCUAUUUACUUUACCCUGCUGCUUAUCUGUGUGAGCAACUAAAGAGAAGAUGUUUCACUUUUCCCAUGCAGAGAAUGCACUAAAUGUCUGUUUGAUCUGGGUCUGGGAUCUGUGGUUUGGAUCUCAAGUCUAACUAGUGCUGUCACCAGCCGAGGAGAAAAUACUACACUCUGGACAGCUCCAACACCCUCUCGUUGACUUAUAGCAGAAAAUCAAGCUCUUCCAUUCACUGAAGUAUUUACAGCUCAGCAAGGAUAUUGCAAGUGAGAAAGGUCAGUAGCUGGAAUACAAUACAACACAUACAAUUUUGUAUGACUGAUCAAACGUCCUUUAAAACAAGUAAACACUGUCUUACAUAUAAUCUAAGCUAAUCUUCCCACUGUUUCCUGCAGAGUGCCACUCGGAAUGUGCUGAUCACGACGAAGAGAGCACUUUCCGUGCACGUACUAAUAUUUGUUAUAUCGCAGCAUAUAUCACAACGACUGUUUCUUUUGGUGUUGCUUCCUCUUCUCUCCCGCUGCGCGGCCCCGGUGGUGCUUUAAGACUGCGGAGGGCUGGGGUUAGCGCUGCCCUCCGCCGCGCCGGCAAGGCAGGGGAGGUGAGCGGCGGGCUCCGAGCGCUCCGAGCCGCCGGAGAGCGAGGGGAGCGAGGAGAGAAGGCAAGAGAGAAGGGGAAAAGGAAGAUGUGCCCGCCUGCCCGCCCGCCCGCCGCCGGGCCGAGGGGAGCCGUGUGAGGAGCCGUGCGAGGAGGCGUGCGAGGAGCCGGCUCGCCGCGGCUCGGGGCCGGCCGCCGCCGGCGGGGAUGCUCGUGUGGCCGCGCCGGAGGAUUUUGUCACCUGUGGCCCUGCCCCCGCCGCCCUGCGGGCGCCUCCCCGAGCCAAGGACACACCUGGGCGCCGCGCACCCGCCCCCCGCCCCCGCCGCCGGCCGCCUCUUCCCCCGCCCGAGCGCCGGGCGAGUGUCGGCGGAGCCGCGGGGCUGCAGGCGGGGCUGAGCGCUCGCUGGGCGGACGAGCGGCCCCGCAGGCUCCGAGCAGCCACCAGCCGAGGGAGGAGGAGGAGGAGAGGGCGAGCGGGCGAGCGGCAGGGGCAUGUGGAUGUUUGCCGUCGCCUUGCUCCACAGCAUCUCGCAUGGUUAUUCUUCUCUACUGCUGAAGUCCUCCAUAACACAGCCCUACCAAACUUUUCCCAUGAAGUACUUGGAGUCCUUUUCCAUCCCAACCAGCAUAUGAAUUUCCACUUGUUUGCCAAACUUACAGUCAAGUACUUUUCUGCUCUUGUAUAAGAAUUUCCUCCCCAAAAAGGAAGAUCUCCAUUAGCUGCCUUCAAAUCCUGCCUGUGGACUUGCUGCUAUUUAAAAACUCAGCAACAGUUGGCUGCUGUGGACAUUGCUCAUCUCGCUUAAUUUAAAGUGUUUAUGGUGCAAUUCACUGGAGCUUCUCCACAUAAUACAUGGAGAGAGAGGAACAGAGGCUUCCAGGGUGCAUUUUCUGUUUUACCUUGGACAAUCACUGUAGGAUGGGAGAAAUCAUCUCUUAAAUGUGCUUACUCCUCCCUUUUGACUAUUAAAGCAGGCACAGGUACCUGGAUGAAAGAAAGAGAACUGUCUGCUUUACAACCUUUUGCGUUUCUCUGGGUGACUCCAUGACCUGAAAGGCACAGAGAAUGUCUCUGUCUUACCUGUGAACAAUUUGCAUUGGUAAAACUUAUGUUCUGUACUCAAAAGUAAAUGCAAAUGCAGUUUCCUCCAUAGUUUUCUGUUUCCUUCCUCUGUAACUGUAAGCAAUUAUAGGUUGUAGAAAAUGCGUUAUGGAGACAAAAUUAUUUGUGCAGUGGUGUGUAAGCACCCAGUUUGUUGGUGAGCUAAGACAAUGGGUAUAAAGUGUGGGCAGAAAAGAAAGGGUCAA